AUACGGAGGGCGCAAGCGUUGUUCGGAAUCAUUGGGCGUAAAGCGCGUGUAGGCGGCUUGGCAAGUCGGGUGUGAAAGCCCGGGGCUCAACCCCGGAACUGCAUUCGAAACUGCCUGGCUAGAGUCCCGGAGAGGAAGGCAGAAUUCCCGGUGUAGAGGUGAAAUUCGUAGAUAUCGGGAGGAAUACCAGUGGCGAAGGCGGCCUUCUGGACGGCGACUGACGCUGAGACGCGAAAGCGUGGGGAGCAAACAGGAUUAGAAACCCCAGUAGUCC
rnacentral:rRNA from 1 species